GAUGAACGCUGGCGGCGUGCCUAAUACAUGCAAGUCGAGCGAAGCGGGGACGGGUGAGUAACACGUGGAUAACCUCCUAUAAGACUGGGAAAACUUCGGGAAACCGGAGCUAAACCGGAUCCUUAUCGCAGGAUCCGCGCUGCAUUGUCUAGUUGGUAAGGUAACGGCUUACACAGGAAACGAUGCAUAGCCGACCUGCGAGGGGGAUCAGCCACACUGGAACUGAGACAAGGUCCAGACUCCUACGGGAGGCAGCAGUAGGGAAUCUUCCGCAAUGGGCGAAAGCCUGACGGAGCAACGCCGCGUGAGUGAUGAAGGUCUUCGGAUCGUAAAACUCUGUUAUUAGGGAAGCGGUACCUAAUCAGAAAGCCACGGCUAACGCCGUGCCAGCAGCCGCGGUAAUAC
rnacentral:rRNA from 1 species